rnacentral:rRNA from 1 species
AACGAACGCUGGCGGCAUGCCUAACACAUGCAAGUCGAACGAAGGCUUCGGCCUUAGUGGCGCACGGGUGCGUAACGCGUGGGAAUCUGCCCUUGGGUUCGGAAUAACAGCGGGAAACUGCUGCUAAUACCGGAUGAUGUCGAUAAGACCAAAGAUUUAUCGCCUGAGGAUGAGCCCGCGGUGGAUUAGGUAGUUGGUGGGGUAAAGGCCUACCAAGCCGACGAUCCAUAGCUGGUCUGAGAGGAUGAUCAGCCACACUGGGACUGAGACACGGCCCAGACUCCUACGGGAGGCAGCAGUGGGGAAUAUUGGACAAUGGGCGAAAGCCUGAUCCAGCAAUGCCGCGUGAGUGAUGAAGGCCUUAGGGUUGUAAAGCUCUUUUACCCGGGAUGAUAAUGACAGUACCGGGAGAAUAAGCCCCGGCUAACUCCGUGCCAGCAGCCGCAGUAAGAC